UUGGUUCGAUUUAUCCAUCGGACCAGAUCCCAGGGAAUCAGUUUCCAAUUUAAAUUAAACCGUUUGGUUCAUUUUUGUGAAAAAUCGGUUCGGAGUCAUGGUGGCCAGUAGAAUCAGGGUAACCAACUAAAAACCAUGAUUCAUCCGGAUUAACCUAUUGAGGUUAAUCCGGAAUCGAGUCACGAUUCCGGAGGUUCGUAUAAAAGCGAUGGAUUCAAGUUGAAUCCAUUUCCACAUCAUCCUGCGAUUCUCCCGGUGAAGUCCGACCGAGGUUCAGCGACGGUGAAGCAACAGCUCGCAUCUGAGAAGAACACCUAAAACCGAGUUGAUUGAAGGUUGUAACUUCAUAUCUAGGGUUUACCCUAUUUCCAAAUCAGACGAUCGACUCCAAGGUUUGAAGAACUAGAAUCGAAGUUUGAUUUAAGGUUAGAUUUCGACAUUUAUGUGAUUUUUUUCUUCUUUGGAACCAUGUUCUUACUGUAAUGUA